rnacentral:rRNA from 1 species
ACUCCUACGGGAGGCAGCAGUGGGGAAUAUUGCACAAUGGGGGAAACCCUGAUGCAGCCAUGCCGCGUGUGUGAAGAAGGCCUUCGGGUUGUAAAGCACUUUCAGUAGGGAGGAAGGUAGUGUAGUUAACACCUGCACUAUUUGACGUUACCUACAGAAGAAGCACCGGCUAACUCCGUGCCAGCAGCCGCGGUAAUACGGAGGGUGCGAGCGUUAAUCGGAAUUACUGGGCGUAAAGCGCAUGCAGGCGGCCUGUUAAGUCAGAUGUGAAAGCCCGGGGCUUAACCUCGGAAUUGCAUUUGAACUGGCAGGCUAGAGUCUUGUAGAGGGGGUAGAUUUCAGGUGUAGCGGUGAAAUGCGUAGAGAUCUGAAGGAAUACCAGUGGCGAAGGCGGCCCCCUGGACAAGACUGACGCUCAGAUGCGAAAGCGUGGGGAGCAAACAGGAUUAGAUACCCU